GCCGGCUCGGCGCCUGUCCCCUGGUCCCGCCGACCCCGCUCAGGGCCACCGAAGGGUCUGGGGGCUCGGGGCAGGGGGAGGCGCGAUCCGAGCCCGUGGGAGCCUCCCCAACCUCGCAGUCCCAGCAGCAAACUGCACUUGGUCGGACGGAUGCCCGCGUUGAGGUCUGAGCCCCUCUCCUGACUAUGUCAGACAAAUCCAGAAGGUAGAGAGGAAAUCUGGGACUGAGAAUUUUCUGCCCCGUCAUCGGUGCUGGAGGAAAGAGGGCAGAGGACAGAGGAGGAGCAGCGUGACUGCCUGGGCUGAUCCAUUUCUGGAUAGUUCCUGUUGAAGAAGGAGACAGAAGAGGAUUCCUGGUUUAGUCCCUUUGAAGAAUCAGCAAGGCAACAGGCACACUGUAAAAUAUUCAAACUGAACGAAGACUAAAUAGGAAAGAAAUUUUGUGACGUAUGGGUUAAUAUGGAGCUCCUGCAGCCUUUUCCCUGAGUGACUAUGAUGAAGAAAGGCACCUUGCCAAUCUACAGCAGGCACAUAAACACAAGUGAGAAUUGAACGUUGCUGCUUUAAGCCACUGAGAUUUGAGGGGCUGUUAUGUAGUAAAACACAGACUAUCCUGACUGAUGCAUGAGGCAACUGGACUGGAUAAUUCUCAAGUCCUUUCAAGAUGUGCAUGACAGGUGUGAUUCUUCCCAGCUGGUGUUUCUUCAGCUUGGAUCUGAGGAUCCACUCUCAGUUUACUCAGGGGGUACUGAACCUCAAACUCUUAUGGAAACCAAAAUUCAGCCAUUCUGCCACACCUCUUUGAGCCUCAAGAACAUUUCUCAGAGGAGGAGAGAAACCUGCAGCAGGAAGAAUUCUGUAGCUCCUGCUGUCCCCUCUGAGGUCCAGCUUCUGGUAGCCUACAAAGAAUCAGAAACAUGAACAGCCAUGGGCAUGAAGAGGAAAGUUUAUUCUUGCUCACCAGGAUUCCUAUCAACAGGGGAGCAGCAUCUGCCGACUGGCUCAGAUCAGUCAUUCUUAAUCGCAUCAGGUGUAAAUACUGCUAUCCUAACAAACAUUGUAGAAAACAGAAUCUACUUACACAUGUAAUUGCAAAAAUAUCAACAUAAUGCCCCAAAUAUAAAGAAAAAAAAAAAAAAAAAAAAACAAAGCUCAGUGUACUAUCACAUGCCAGAGGUUCCCAGCUACUUGGGAGUCUGAGGCAGGAGGAUAACUUGAGCCCAAAAGUGCUAGGUCAAUCUGGGCAGCCCAUCAAGACACUAUCUCACACACACACACAAAAAGCAAAAUGGAAAUGCAUAACAUAAUAAUAUAAUAAAAUAACACAUAUUUCAAGAUAUAUGUGCAAGCACAAGUGUUCUAGAAGACAAAGUGCAACCAGCAACUGCUUUCACCUGCUUCAAAAAUCUUGAAUUUGGGGCUGGGGU